rnacentral:misc_RNA from 1 species
GAAUGGUUUAUGAAUUCCAUUCCAUUUUAUUUNUUUCUAUUUGUUUGUUGUUUUCUUUUGUAGUUUGGCUUUUUAGAAUGCUCGUUGUUGUUUAUUCGCAUGUUUUUCACUUCUUUCAGUGUUGUUGCCCGUUUUACAGUUUAGUUCAGCUUUUCAUUUUCUUUUUUUAUGCUUUUCUCUCACAAAGGAUGAAACAGGGGAUCACGUGAUUCAGCGAAGAGCAGUAAUUCAACGUCCCACAACGACAAACGAAACGAAGAAAAGGAAACGCAGCAUCAGUAUUCAUUUGCAAGGAAAUAGUAAGCAGUUUUCUCCUAAAGGAAAAAUUAACAACUGG